UACGUAGGGUGCAAGCGUUGUCCGGAAUUAUUGGGCGUAAAGAGCUCGUAGGCGGUUUGUCGCGUCUGCUGUGAAAACUCGAGGCUCAACCUCGAGACGUCGGUUGAAACCAUCUGGCUAGAGUCCGGAAGAGGAGUGUGGAAUUCCCGGUGUAGCGGUGAAAUGCGCAGAUAUCGGGAAGAACACCCGUGGCGAAGGCGGCACUCUGGGACGGUACUGACGCUGAGACGCGAAAGCGUGGGGAGCGAACAGG
rnacentral:rRNA from 1 species